rnacentral:lncRNA from 1 species
CUCAGCCAUCCUCACUUGGAUGAAAAAAAAAGAAAAGUGGUAAAAAAUCUAAAAUAGUACCUGACUGUGCCUUUCAAAGCGAAAAUGUUGUCAUGCCAUGGGGCAGUUGCGUCGUGAUGGAUUCAUUCUAAAUUUUGAAAGCCGUGAUUGAAAUCUCUCAUGCCGUGGGCCAGUUGAGUUACGAUGGACUCAUUCUCUCUGAUAACAGCGUUUUCACUGACGACGUUGCGGUUUAUCGGUCACUUUUACCAUCAGAAAAAGUUCAAAAGCUUGAAAUUCCACUUGAAUCAUCGAUCCUGUGGUUUACGUCAUAGGUCCUAUUUUUAUAUGCUCUCAGAGACGGAGUGCGUUACAAGCGGAGGUGCGUUACCAACUUAGAAAAAGCGGAAUCUACCGGCGAAGCAAUAAAUAUCACCCCCCCCCCUUCCUAAGUUUAUCGCGUAAGGAUGAUGAGAUUUUUAAUAACUAAAUUUUUUUCUCUAAGUGUGCAUUUUAUGUCAUCUGCGCUACUUACGCAAACAUUUUACGUGGAAACACUGAUGAGAUUUCCAACUGCGUGACUCAUCUCCCUUUUUUCUCAAUUCCAAAUACUGAAAAAUGAAACUGUGUCAGACAGAAGAACACCUCCGAACAGAGUUGUUGAUAACGAACCUGCGUCGGAUCUGGUGAAACCGAAAAAACCGUCAAAAUUUUCAUGGAAUCGUAUUACUAGUAGCGUUCGGAGAUCUCUCUCAGGUUCCGGAUCUCUAUCUAGAGGCGACUCACUUUGUUCGAACAGUUCUUUCAACUCCAUGUGCUCCAACACUGGGAAAAUCGUCAGUUCUACGUCCAAAGAGUAUCGAUUCUCACAUCAGAAUGAUUUCUUUGAAAGAGGUGUCGGAAAAAAUUUAAAAAAACUGGGAAGUAUGGGUCUGGAUUCAGGAAGAAAAAUUGUUAAAGGAGCAGUGGGCAGCUUCAGCCGAAGUUUCAGCAAAAUUUCGUCGUCUAGGAGGAGUGAUGGAAGUAUGGAUGGAGGAACACAGAAGAAAGCUCCUAAUAGGGAGGAAUUCCGACAUUUCCUGGCAGAGGUUCACGACAUUCAAAUGGAACAGAGAGCAAGAAGAGGUCCACUAGACUCCAAAGACUUUCUUGAAAGAUUCUGCCUGACAUCGGUCCCUACCAUCCAGAAAGACGCGGUCAAUACUGCUGCCUUGAAACAAGACUGCGCGACACUGUGCGCUGAUGCCUAUGGCUAUAUAUUCAAACCGUCCGAGUGGGAAGAUCCCAAAAACGAACUCGACUUUUUCGCUUGCGGGACACUCAUUCCAAUUACCCGCGGUGAGGUCUGCCUCAACCCCCCACCCCAGUUCAUUAACGCCGAUGAAAUAAAGUUCGAUUGCGUGUGCACGACAACCGUUGACUUCCAGAGGAUAAUGGACAACCAAAAAAUUGGGUUAACGGGGUUUUACCGAGCAAAGCAAAGGUCCUCGGUCGAGGCGGUGGACUGGUUACGCAAGACUUUGGAGGAUGCCGACAGCGAGUUUGAGGUGGUGACAAUGGAGGACUUUAAGCUGAAGAUCAAAGCUCUCCUCAGGAAAUACAAAGUCCCUGAUCCUGAAGUCAGCUAUCAUUUAAAGUACCUGCAGAGCAAACAAGCUGGCGGACAGAGUGAGGAAAAGGCGGACGCGAAAUACUGGGAGGACAUGUUGUUCAGACGAUGAGCCCCAUUGCCCGGCUGUCAAUUGUUCUUCUCGUAAUCUGCGUUUGUUAAUUUUGUAUAAUUAAUCAUUCAAUAAUUUUCAAUACUUCCUACAGCAGUAACCAUGUGAUUCUUUAUGUGUAUGAGAAAUUUUGAUUUUUAACAACAGACAAAUAGGUAAAAAAAAAAAAAAAAAAAAAAAAAAAAAACGGAAGUGAA